ACAUCUCUUGGAGUUCUAGCUCACCUUUCUGGUGUUGUUCUUGUACUCAUCUGUUUAAUCUAGUUCUGCCACUUCUUCUUGAACUUCUUGUUAGAUUUCAAGUCUGUAUUUUGUGUCCGUGAUAGUUUGUCGAGACUACACUAACUUGAGAUAUCAGAGCUAGUUUUUUCUUAAUAGAGUGUGGAUUACCCCUCUACUUGAAGGUAUACUAGCAUUUUUUAGAGGUUGCGGAUUACCCUCCUCUGAAUUGAUACUUCUUCUAUUACAAUAUUGGAGUCUUAUUCUUCUUGGAUAGAGUGGAUUACCCCUCUUCUUGAAAUUCUUAAGGCAUUUUAUA
rnacentral:lncRNA from 1 species